UACGGAGGGUGCAAGCGUUAUCCGGAUUCACUGGGUUUAAAGGGUGCGUAGGUGGGCAGGUAAGUCCGUGGUGAAAUCUCUGAGCUUAACUCAGAAACUGCCGUGGAUACUAUUUGUCUUGAAUGUUGUGGAGGUGAGCGGAAUAUGUCAUGUAGCGGUGAAAUGCUUAGAUAUGACAUAGAACACCAAUUGCGAAGGCAGCUCACUACACAAUUAUUGACGCUGAGGCACGAAAAGCGUGGGGAUCAAACAGG
rnacentral:rRNA from 1 species